GGGCACUUGGCACAGUUGGUAGCGCGCACGCUUCGCAAUAAAGACUGCGUGAGGUCGUGGGUUCAACUCCCACAGUGUCCA